rnacentral:rRNA from 1 species
UUCGCCCUUAGAGUUUGAUCCUGGCUCAGGAUGAACGCUGGCGGCGUGCUUAACACAUGCAAGUCGAACGAAGCACUUUAACCUGAUUCUUCGGAUGAAGGUUUUUGUGACUGAGUGGCGGACGGGUGAGUAACGCGUGGGUAACCUGCCUCAUACAGGGGGAUAACAGUUAGAAAUGACUGCUAAUACCGCAUAAGACCACAGAGCCGCAUGGCUCAGUGGGAAAAACUCCGGUGGUAUGAGAUGGACCCGCGUCUGAUUAGGUAGUUGGUGGGGUAACGGCCUACCAAGCCAACGAUCAGUAGCCGACCUGAGAGGGUGACCGGCCACAUUGGGACUGAGACACGGCCCAAACUCCUACGGGAGGCAGCAGUGGGGAAUAUUGCACAAUGGGCGCAAGCCUGACCCAGCAACGCCGCGUGAAGGAAGAAGGCUUUCGGGUUGUAAACUUCUUUUGUCAGGGACGAGUAGAAGACGGUACCUGACGAAUAAGCCACGGCUAACUACGUGCCAGCAGCCGCGGUAAUACGUAGGUGGCAAGCGUUGUCCGGAUUUACUGGGUGUAAAGGGCGUGUAGCCGGGAGGGCAAGUCAGAUGUGAAAUCCACGGGCUUAACUCGUGAACUGCAUUUGAAAACUGUUCUUCUUGAGUAUCGGAGAGGCAAUCGGAAUUCCUAGUGUAGCGGUGAAAUGCGUAGAUAUUAGGAGGAACACCAGUGGCGAAGGCGGCUUGCUGGGCUUUAACUGACGCUGAGGCUCGAAAGUGUGGGGAGCAAACAGGAUUAGAUACCCUGGUAGUCCACACUGUAAACGAUGAUAGCUAGGUGUGGGGGGUCUGACCCCUUCCGUGCCGGAGUUAACGCAAUAAGCUAUCCACCUGGGGAGUACGACCGCAAGGUUGAAACUCAAAGGAAUUGACGGGGGCCCGCACAAGCAGUGGAUUAUGUGGUUUAAUUCGAAGCAACGCGAAGAACCUUACCAGGUCUUGACAUCCGACUAACGAGAUAGAGAUAUGUCAGGUGCCCUUCGGGGAAAGUCGAGACAGGUGGUGCAUGGUUGUCGUCAGCUCGUGUCGUGAGGUGUUGGGUUAAGUCCCGCAACGAGCGCAACCCCUGCCAUUAGUUGCUACGCAAGAGCACUCUAAUGGGACCGCUACCGACAAGGUGGAGGAAGGUGGGGACGACGUCAAAUCAUCAUGCCCCUUAUGACCUGGGCUACACACGUAAUACAAUGGCCGUUAACAGAGGGAAGCAAAGCGGUGACGCAGAGCAAAACCCUAAAAACGGUCCCAGUUCGGACUGUAGGCUGCAACCCGCCUACACGAAGUUGGAAUUGCUAGUAAUCGCGGAUCAGCAUGCCGCGGUGAAUACGUUCCCGGGCCUUGCACUCACCGCCCGUCA